CUCGGAGCUGACGAGUGGCGAACGGGUGAGUAAUACAUCGGAACGUGCCCGAUCGUGGGGGAUAACGGAGCGAAAGCUUUGCUAAUACCGCAUACGAUCUACGGAUGAAAGCAGGGGACCGCAAGGCCUUGCGCGGACGGAGCGGCCGAUGGCAGAUUAGGUAGUUGGUGGGAUAAAAGCUUACCAAGCCGACGAUCUGUAGCUGGUCUGAGAGGACGACCAGCCACACUGGGACUGAGACACGGCCCAGACUCCUACGGGAGGCAGCAGUGGGGAAUUUUGGACAAUGGGCGAAAGCCUGAUCCAGCCAUGCCGCGUGCAGGAUGAAGGCCUUCGGGUUGUAAACUGCUUUUGUACGGAACGAAAAGCCUCUUUCUAAUAAAGAGAGGUCAUGACGGUACCGUAAGAAUAAGCACCGGCUAACUACGUGCCAGCAGCCGCGGUAAUACGUAGGGUGCAAGCGUUAAUCGGAAUUACUGGGCGUAAAGCGUGCGCAGGCGGUUAUGU
rnacentral:rRNA from 1 species